rnacentral:lncRNA from 1 species
CCUCAAUGAUACUGGGUGUUGAGACUUUAUUUUUGACAGUAUAUCAGAAGCAAUAAAGCCACAUCCUCAACCCUACUUCUUGCAGUGUUCAUGACUGGGUGCAGCAACUAAUUAAGUAAGCCCAAAUAGUGUCAAUGGGAGGGAAAACAGAGGUGGCAUAGUGUUCUGUUAUGCUCAUUCAUUUAGUACUUCUUUAGCACAGAUAGAUGCUUUUGGCCAUGAUGGUCUAAUUAGCUUAAGAAUUGUUUCUAUUAUUUUAAAGGCUUUGCUUGAAGGAUAAAAGUAAAGACAAAGCAGACAAAAGUAUAUUUUUAAAUUGUCUAUAAUGGAUUAACAGUUAUCAGAGUAAAUAACAAUGUCUCUUAUUUUCUGAAAUGGCUUUAUUAAAAUAACAUCUUCAAAAUAACUAGAAAUUGAGAUAAAUGUGUAAGGUGAGAAAAGUUUUAUAUGUAUCCAGUUGACUUCCAUUUAAAGUAGAAUGAGAGAAUGUUUUGCCUAUGUUCUCUUCCUGGAGUUUGAUGGUGUCUUGUCUUAUAUUUAAGUCUUUAAGCCAUUCUGAGGUUAUUUUAGUGCAUGGUGUGGUGGUGUGUUCUAGUUUCAUUGAUUUGCAUGCAGCUGUCCAGGUUUCCCAGCAAUUCUUGCUGAAAAGACUGUCUUUUUUCCCAUUUUAUGUUCUUGCCUCCCUUGUCAAAGAUUAAUUGACCAUAGGUGUCUGGGUUUAUUUCUGGGUUCUCUAUUCUGUUCCAUUGGUCUGUCUGUUUUGGUACCAGUACCACACUGUCUUGAUGACUGUGGCUUUGUAACAUUGCUCGAAGUCUGGGAGAGUUAUGCCUCCUGCUUGGUUUUUGUUCUUCAGAAUUGCUUUGGCAAUUCUGGGUCUUUUGUGAUUCCAUAUAAAUUUUCGGAUGGUUUGUUCUAGUUCUGUGAAAAACAUCAUGGGUAAUUGGAGAGGGAUUGCAUUGAAUCUGUAGAUUGCUCUGGGUAUAUGGCCAUUUUUACAAUAUUAAUUUUUCCAACCCAGGAACAUGGAAUAUCUCUCCAUUUCAUUACAUCUUCUUUAAUUUCCUUGAUUAAUGUUUUAUAGUUCUCAGCAUAUAAGUCUUUUACCUCCUUGGUCAGAUGUAUUCCUAGCUAUUUGAUUUUUGGGGUAUGAUUUUAAAAGGUAUUGUAUUUUUGUAUUCCUUUUCUAAUAUUUCAUUGUUAGUAUACAGAAAUGUGACUGAUUUCUGAAUGUCAAUCUUAUAUUCUGCUACUUUGCUGAAUUUGUUGAUCAGUUCAAGUAGUUUUUGGGUUGAGUCCUUGGGGUUUUCUAUAUAUAGUGUCACGUCAUCUGUAUACAGUGACUAUUGCCUUUGGAAUGGAUUAGCAAAGAGAUCUUGCUGUGUAGCACUGGGAACUAUGUCUGAUCACUUAUGAUGGAGCAUAAUAAUGUGAGAAAAAGAAUGUACAUAUGUAUGCGUGACUGGGUCACCUUGCUGUAUAGUAGAAAAUUGACAGAACACUGUAAACCAGCUAUGAUGGAAAAAAUAAAAAUCAUUAUAUAAAAAAAUAAAGUUGAAUCAAAUAAGUUUAUAACAAAUACCCUUACAAACUCAAUAAAGAGUUUGUAUAGUAAACUAUUACACUGCAGCUUUGUAAAAGUGAGAAUUCUUUACUUAAUACACAUUACACUUAUUUCUUAGGGAUUUUGUCCUACAAAAGUUUUUUAGGAGUACCCAAACUAUCAUAUUAAUGGAAAGUAAAGGGAAAUGUUUCUUUUUCUCACCAUCUCUCACAAAUGGAAUUCCUAAGUAAUAAGCUGCAGAAACAUACCAUUCAGCUUAAAAAUUUUUAGGUCAAAUGACCCAGCAUGUGUGGUGAUACAUGUGCAGUGAAAACUGUACAGAACAGGAUACAGUAACUCUGUAUAGCUCUACCCAGAUGCAAGCAGUUGAGACUCUAUUUUCAGUACAAAUCCCAUGUUCGACUUUAAAAGAGUAGUUACAAGUAGCUGUAGAAUGUAUGUUCUGUGCUAUCAUUAAUUCAUGUGGUCAAAAUGCUGCCGAGCUGGCAGAUAAGAGCAGCCCAAAGCCUAACUCUCAUAACUCUGGUAAUGAUCACUGGGGUACACAAAUAUCUUCAAGUCACAUAAUUGUGGUGAUCUCAGUGUGCUCCGUUCUGGUGGACUGUUGCCCAUACCACUAAAUCAGCAUUCGCAGCACCAUGCACAUAUGGCACAGUUGGAGUUCAGUGGGAGCCUAGGACUUUGUUCACUUGGGGGCCAAGUCACUCUUAACCUCCAUAAAAGGCAUCCUUUAAAGAAUAGGGUAAAGGUCACUUCAGCUCAUGCCAAGUGUAAAAAUGAGAACUACAGACAGGAAACACUGUUCAGAUGUUGUAGGGCUGUAGGCCUGUUUUAUGUCUGCUCUGAGCCCUCUGCAGCUAUAGGAGACCAAAGACAUACUCGCCAUCCCUAUUUAUUCUAGGUUAGCAGCCAAAUGGGUCCAGACAUUAAAAGCAGGGGAAAUCAGGGACUAAUCAGGAAUUGCCUGUCUCAGAGGUAUGACAUGAAAUAUUGCAGUAAGAAAUUGUGUGAUUGGAACUGUGACUGUGAUGUGUU